rnacentral:rRNA from 1 species
CAGUCGCCACGGGAAUACGGAGGGUGCAAGCGUUAAUCGGAAUUACUGGGCGUAAAGCGCACGCAGGCGGUCUGUCAAGUCAGAUGUGAAAUCCCCGGGCUUAACCUGGGAACUGCAUUUGAAACUGGCAGGCUAGAGUCUUGUAGAGGGGGGUAGAAUUCCAGGUGUAGCGGUGAAAUGCGUAGAGAUCUGGAGGAAUACCGGUGGCGAAGGCGGCCCCCUGGACAAAGACUGACGCUCAGGUGCGAAAGCGUGGGGAGCAAACAGGAUUAGAUACCCCGGUAGUCCCUGUCUCUUAUAC